UUCCAAGUGGAUGGUGAAGUCUCGAG
rnacentral:piRNA from 1 species